rnacentral:rRNA from 1 species
GACGAACGCUGGCGGCGUGCCUAAUACAUGCAAGUUGAGCGAUGAAGCUUGGUGCUUGCGCCAAUUUGAAGAGCAGCGAACGGGUGAGUAACGCGUGGGGAAUCUGCCUUUGAGCGGGGGACAACAUUGGGAAACGAAUGCUAAUACCGCAUAACAACUUUAAACAUAAGUUUUAAGUUUGAAAGAUGCAAUUGCAUCACUCAAAGAUGAUCCCGCGUUGUAUUAGCUAGUUGGUGAGGUAAAGGCUCACCAAGGCCAUGAUACAUAGCCGACCUGAGAGGGUGAUCGGCCACAUUGGGACUGGGACACGGCCCAAACUCCUACGGGAGGCAGCAGUAGGGAAUCUUCGGCAAUGGACGAAAGUCUGACCGAGCAACGCCGCGGGAGUGAAGAAGGUUUUCGGAUCGUAAAACUCUGUUUGUAGAGAAGAAAGUUGGUGAGAGUGGAAAGCUCAUCAAGUGACGGUAACUACACAGAAAGGGACGGCUAACUACGUG